CUACACUGCCACCUGUGCACCCUUGUUUGACUGAUGCUUGAUCCUGUCUGCUGGGAAGGCUGGCUGAAUGGAGGCAGACCCAUCUCCUCUUUCUCUCCUCUGGAACGUGCUUUCAGUCUGCUGCUGCAGUGCAGAUUUGCAGCUGGGUUCUGCUCAGGGUGUGUGGCUGCUCGGCCUCACUGCUGCUUUCCUGCACUGGAUGCGUGCACCUCCAGGAGUGUUGGUUCUUCUGCAUCUCAGGGAAGGAGACUCAUCCUCAUCUGCGCCCUUUUCAGCUGUGAAGGAAGUGUUGGUGCAGGGUCUCCAGGAGGGCCAUAGGUCCUAUGGGCCAACCUGGGCUCAUCCACGCAGAGCUCCUCCUGGCGCAGUGUGUCUGCCAUAUCCCAGGUUUUGGGGCUGAGGAGGUUUUUCUUCCCUCGCAGCUGCGCUCCACACGAAGCUCUGGGCUCCAUUUCCCAGCUCAGCCCCACGCUCCCCCCGCAGCCUUUCUUUCCCAAAGACCAGCAGCCAACCCAGGAGGGGUGGGGACCCCCGGCCCCCUAUUUCACCCCGUUUC
ensembl:lncRNA